rnacentral:rRNA from 1 species
UACGUAGGGUGCAAGCGUUGUCCGGAAUUAUUGGGUGCGUAAAAGGGUGCGUAGGCGGGUUCUUUAAGUCAGGGGUGAAAUCCAUGGACGCUCAACUCCAGAACUGCCUUUGAUACUGAGGAUCGUUGAGGUCCGGGAGAGGUGAGUGGAACUGCGAAGUGUAGAGGUGAAAUUCGUAGAUAUUCGCAAGAACACCAGUGGCGAAGGCGGCUCACUGGCCCGGUACUGACGCUGAGGCGGCGAAAGCGUGGGGAGCAAACAGG